AUUGAACGCUGGCGGCAGGCCUAACACAUGCAAGUCGAGCGAGCGGCGGACGGGUGAGUAAUGUAUGGGGACUGCCCGUUAGAGGGGCAUAACUACUGGAAACGGUAGCUAAUCCCGCAUAAUAUCGGCUACCCCAUAUGGGAUUAGCUAGUAGGUGGGGUAAUGGCUCACCUAGGCGACGAUCCCUAGCUGGACUGAGAGGAUGAUCAGCCACACUGUGACUGAGACACGGCCCAGACUCCUACGGAGGCAGCAGUGGGGAAUAUUGCACAAUGGGCGCAAGCCUGAUGCAGCCACGCCGCGUGUAUGAAGAAGGCCCUAGGGUUGUAAAGUACUUUCAUUCGAGAGGCGUUACCGACAGAAGAAGCACCGGCUAACUCCGUGCCAGCAGCCGCGGUAAUUC
rnacentral:rRNA from 1 species